CACCGGCAGCCCGAGUGGUGAUCACUAUUAUUGGGUCUAAAGGGUCCGUAGCCGGUUUAAUCAGUCUUCUGGGAAAUCUAAUCGCUUAACUAUUAGGCUUCCAGGGGAUACUGUUAGACUUGGGACCGGGAGAGGUAAGAGGUACUGCAGGGGUAGGAGUGAAAUCUUGUAAUCCCUGUGAGACCACCAGUGGCGAAGGCGUCUUACCAGAACGGGUCCGACGGUGAGGGACGAAAGCUGGGGGCACGAACCGGAUUAGAUACCCGGGUAGUCCCAGCUGUAAACGAUGCUCGUUAGGUGUCAGGAACGGUGCGACUGUUUCUGGUGCCGAAGGGAAGCCGUGAAACGAGCCACCUGGGAAGUACGGCCGCAAGGCUGAAACUUAAAGGAAUUGGCGGGGGAGCACUACAACGGGUGGAGCCUGCGGUUUAAUUGGACUCAACGCCGGAAAACUCACCGGGGGCGACAGCAAUAUGUAGGUCAGGUUAAAGGUCUUACCUGAAUCGCUGAGAGGAGGUGCAUGGCCGUCGUCAGUUCGUACUGUGAAGCAUCCUGUUAAGUCAGGCAACGAGCAAGACCCGUGCCCACUGUUACCAGCAUAUCCUUUAUGGAUGAUGGGGACUCUGUGGGGACCGCUGCUGCUAAAGCAGAGGAAGGUGCGGGCUACGGUAGGUCAGUAUGCCCCGAAUCUCCCGGGCUACACGCGGGCUACAAUGGUUGGGACAAUGGGUAUCUACUCCGAAAGGAGUUGGCAAUCUCUUAAACCCAAUCGUAGUUCGAAUUGAGGGCUGUAACUCGCCCUCAUGAAGCUGGAAUCCGUAGUAAUCGCGUUUCAACAUAGCGCGGU
rnacentral:rRNA from 1 species